rnacentral:misc_RNA from 1 species
GGCGAUCAAAGUAUACAAAACUUCAGUUCUUGUAUUCAAGGAUAGAGAUCGCUACGUACAGGGUGACUAUCGCUUUAGAUAUGGAUACUGCAAGCACAAUCCACGGAAAAUGGUUAAAACAUGGGCUGAGAAAGAAAUGAGGAAUCUAAUGAGGCUAAGGGCAGCUGGAAUCAGGUGCCCAGCUCCAAUUCUCUUGAGGCUUCAUGUUCUUGUUAUGGAAUUCAUAGGGAAAGGAGGCUGGGCAGCACCUCGACUAAAGGAUGCUGCUUUAUCUAGUGACAAGUUACGUGAAUGUUAUGUGGAGAUCAUUAUGGCAAUGAGAACUCUAUAUCAG